GCGGGGUAACGGCCCACCAAGGCGACGACGGGUAGCUGGCCUGAGAGGGCGACCGGCCACACUGGGACUGAGACACGGCCCAGACUCUUACGGGAGGCAGCAGUGGGGAAUAUUGCGCAAUGGGCGAAAGCCUGACGCAGCGACGCCGCGUGAGGGAUGAAGGCCUUCGGGUUGUAAACCUCUUUCAGCAGGGACGAAGCGAAAGUGACGGUACCUGCAGAAGAAGCACCGGCUAACUACGUGCCAGCAGCCGCGGUAAUACGUAGGGUGCAAGCGUUGUCCGGAAUUAUUGGGCGUAAAGAGCUCGUAGGCGGUUUGUCGCGUCGGAUGUGAAAACCCAGGGCUCAACCCUGGGCCUGCAUUCGAUACGGGCAGGCUAGAGUCCGGUAGGGGAGACUGGAAUUCCUGGUGUAGCGGUGAAAUGCGCAGAUAUCAGGAGGAACACCGGUGGCGAAGGCGGGUCUCUGGGCCAAUACUGACGCUGAGGAGCGAAAGCGUGGGGAGCGAACAGGAUUAGAUACCCUGGUAGUCCACGCCGUAAACGUUGGGCGCUAGGUGUGGGGGACCUUCCACGUCCUCUGUGCCGCAGCUAACGCAUUAAGCG
rnacentral:rRNA from 1 species